CCUACACCCAAUCUUAGGCACAUCAACUCACCGAUUGGGUUGAUACAAAAUUGGAGUAAGAAGCCAGGUUACUAUCCUCCAACCAUUUCUUGACAUCAUCUCCAUAGUAUGAGAACCUAAAGCAGAGACCCUAAAAAACAAAAACAGAGCAAAUAAAAUCUUCUCAUUAUACUCUGUAAAUGAGCAACAAUAGAUUUAGAACACCACAUUACAUAUGAAGCUAAAGUGUUUAAUUUGAGAGUACGCAAAGAACUGGUUUUGGCUAAACCCUAAUUGAGAAACCCACAUACAGAAACAGAAUCAAAAUGUGAAGCAAUAGAUAUUGAAAAUAUUCCAGAAAAAAUAAUGUUGAAACUCUAAAAGUAAUGAACUUUAAGACCGACAUUGCGUGUAUAAGAGUCUCAAAAAUGGAAAAGUAGCAGAGCCAAACUUACUCUUUGGAGAAGAUAAAUCUGGAAGGGAAGCUCAAAAGAAGUGAAGCCAUUGGGCGUGGUAGCAGUAUUAGCGGUGGGAAAAGGGUUAAACCCUAAGACUAAAAAAGAGAGAGAGAGGGAGAGAGAAUUAAGAGUUAAGAGUGUAUUUAAGUAAAAGUAAUGAUCUUUGGUGAGCGGCGUGCUUACAGUUCUGCACAGAGCACAUUUAUCAAUGAAUGUGAGAGACAGAGUGAGACUUUUUUUUGUUUUUGGUUUCGUCGACGUUUCGUGAUUCGAUAAUUCGAAGGUCCCCUUUC
rnacentral:lncRNA from 1 species